GAUGAACGCUGGCGGCGUGCCUAAUACAUGCAAGUCGAGCGAACAGAUGAUGAGCUUGCUCCUCUGACGUUAGCGGCGGACGGGUGAGUAACACGUGGAUCGCCUACUUCUUAUACGGGGAUAACUACGGGAAGCCACAUCUACUACUGGAGCAUAUAUUGAACGGCAGGGUUCAGUAGUUCAAGACACUUUUGCUGUCACUUUUAGCUGGAUCCGCGUCGGAUUAGCUAGUUGGUAAGGUAACGGCUUACCAAGGCGACGAUGCGUAGCCGACCUGAGAGGAUGAUCGGCCACACUGGAACUGAGACACGGUCCAGACUCCUACGGGAGGCAGCAGUAGGGAAUAUUGCACAAUGGGCGAAAGCCUGACGCAGCAACGCCGCGUGAGUGAUGAAGGUCUUCGGGUCGUAAAACUCUGUUGUUGGGGAAGAAAAGAUGUAUAUGUAAAUAUGGACGUCUUGACGGUACCUAAUCAGAAAGCACCGGCUAACUACGUG
rnacentral:rRNA from 1 species